UCUAAGUUUGAUGGCGACCGGCGCACGGGUGAGUAACACGUAUCCAACCUGCCGAUGACUCGGGGAUAGCCUUUCGAAAGAAAGAUUAAUACCCGAUGGCAUAGUUCUUCCGCAUGGUAGAACUAUUAAAGAAUUUCGGUUAUCGAUGGGGAUGCGUUCCAUUAGUUUGUUGGCGGGGUAACGGCCCACCAAGACUACGAUGGAUAGGGGUUCUGAGAGGAAGGUCCCCCACAUUGGAACUGAGACACGGUCCAAACUCCUACGGGAGGCAGCAUG
rnacentral:rRNA from 1 species